AAAUGGCCACAAAGGUCAAGUGUUUGUUUCUUCCUUUCUUUCUUUGGUUCUUUCUUUCUUUCUUUGAAAUUGUU
rnacentral:ribozyme from 15 species